rnacentral:rRNA from 1 species
UACGUAGGUGGCAAGCGUUAUCCGGAUUUACUGGGUGUAAAGGGAGCGUAGACGGCAUGGCAAGUCAGAUGUGAAAGCCCGGGGCUCAACCCCGGGACUGCAUUUGAAACUGUCAGGCUGGAGUGCAGGAGAGGUAAGCGGAAUUCCUAGUGUAGCGGUGAAAUGCGUAGAUAUUAGGAGGAACACCAGUGGCGAAGGCGGCUUACUGGACUGUAACUGACGUUGAGGCUCGAAAGCGUGGGGAGCAAAUAGG